CCUACGGGAGGCAGCAGUGGGGAAUAUUGCACAAUGGGCGAAAGCCUGAUGCAGCAACGCCGCGUGAGCGAUGAAGGCCUUCGGGUCGUAAAGCUCUGUCCUCAAGGAAGAUAAUGACGGUACUUGAGGAGGAAGCCCCGGCUAACUACGUGCCAGCAGCCGCGGUAAUACGUAGGGGGCUAGCGUUAUCCGGAAUUACUGGGCGUAAAGGGGGCGUAGGUGGUUUCUUAAGUCAGAGGUGAAAGGCUACGGCUCAACCGUAGUAAGCCUUUGAAACUGGGGAACUUGAGUGCAGGAGAGGAGGGUGGAAUUCCUGGUGUAGCGGUGAAAUGCGUAGAUAUUAGGAGGAACACCAGUUGCGAAGGCGGCUCUCUGAACUGUAACUGACACUGAGGCACGAAAGCGUGGGGAGCAAACAGGAUUAGAUACCCCUGUAGUC
rnacentral:rRNA from 1 species